GACGAACGCUGGCGGCGUGCCUAAUACAUGCAAGUAGAACGCUGAAGAGAGGAGCUUGCUCUUCUUGGAUGAGUUGCGAACGGGUGAGUAACGCGUAGGUAACCUGCCUUGUAGCGGGGGAUAACUAUUGGAAACGAUAGCUAAUACCGCAUAACAAUGGAUGACACAUGUCAUUUAUUUGAAAGGGGCAAAUGCUCCACUACAAGAUGGACCUGCGUUGUAUUAGCUAGUAGGUGAGGUAACGGCUCACCUAGGCGACGAUACAUAGCCGACCUGAGAGGGUGAUCGGCCACACUGGGACUGAGACACGGCCCAGACUCCUACGGGAGGCAGCAGUAGGGAAUCUUCGGCAAUGGGGGCAACCCUGACCGAGCAACGCCGCGUGAGUGAAGAAGGUUUUCGGAUCGUAAAGCUCUGUUGUAAGUCAAGAACGAGUGUGAGAGUGGAAAGUUCACACUGUGACGGUAGCUUACCAGAAAGGGACGGCUAACUACGUGCCAGCAGCCGCGGUAAUACGUAGGUCCCGAGCGUUGUCCGGAUUUAUUGGGCGUAAAGCGAGCGCAGGCGGUUUGAUAAGUCUGAAGUUAAAGGCUGUGGCUCAACCAUAGUUCGCUUUGGAAACUGUCAAACUUGAGUGCAGAAGGGGAGAGUGGAAUUCCAUGUGUAGCGGUGAAAUGCGUAGAUAUAUGGAGGAACACCGGUGGCGAAAGCGGCUCUCUGGUCUGUAACUGACGCUGAGGCUCGAAAGCGUGGGGAGCGAACAGGAUUAGAUACCCUGGUAGUCCACGCCGUAAACGAUGAGUGCUAGGUGUUGGAUCCUUUCCGGGAUUCAGUGCCGCAGCUAACGCAUUAAGCACUCCGCCUGGGGAGUACGACCGCAAGGUUGAAACUCAAAGGAAUUGACGGGGGCCCGCACAAGCGGUGGAGCAUGUGGUUUAAUUCGAAGCAACGCGAAGAACCUUACCAGGUCUUGACAUCCCGAUGCUAUUUCUAGAGAUAGAAAGUUACUUCGGUACAUCGGUGACAGGUGGUGCAUGGUUGUCGUCAGCUCGUGUCGUGAGAUGUUGGGUUAAGUCCCGCAACGAGCGCAACCCCUAUUGUUAGUUGCCAUCAUUCAGUUGGGCACUCUAGCGAGACUGCCGGUAAUAAACCGGAGGAAGGUGGGGAUGACGUCAAAUCAUCAUGCCCCUUAUGACCUGGGCUACACACGUGCUACAAUGGUUGGUACAACGAGUUGCGAGUCGGUGACGGCAAGCUAAUCUCUUAAAGCCAAUCUCAGUUCGGAUUGUAGGCUGCAACUCGCCUACAUGAAGUCGGAAUCGCUAGUAAUCGCGGAUCAGCACGCCGCGGUGAAUACGUUCCCGGGCCUUGUACACACCGCCCGUCACACCACGAGAGUUUGUAACACCCGAAGUCGGUGAGGUAACCUUUUGGAGCCAGCCGCCUAAGGUGGGAUAGAU
rnacentral:rRNA from 1 species